rnacentral:rRNA from 1 species
GUAGUGGAGCAUGUGGUUUAAUUCGAAGAUACGCGCAGAACCUUACCAACACUUGACAUGUUCGUCGCGACUCUAAGAGAUUAGAGUUUUCGGUUCGGCCGGACGAAACACAGGUGCUGCAUGGCUGUCGUCAGCUCGUGUCGUGAGAUGUUGGGUUAAGUCCCGCAACGAGCGCAACCCUCACUUUUAGUUGCCAUCAUUAAGUUGGGCACUCUGAAAGAACUGCCAGUGAUAAGCUGGAGGAAGGUGGGGAUGACGUCAAGUCCUCAUGGCCCUUACGUGUUGGGCUACACACGUGCUACAAUGGCAUCUACAACAGGAAGCAAAACGGCAACGUUAAGCAAAUCCCGAAAAGAUGCCUCAGUUCGGAUUGCACUCUGCAACUCGAGUGCAUUAAGCAG